CUUUACUGCAGCUUUGCAUUGGACUUUGACGGCGCUUGUGUAGGAUAGGUGGGAGGCUGAGAGACGCGGUCGCCAGAUCGCGAUGAGCCGUCGUUGAAAUACCACCCUGGUGUCGUUGAGGUUCUAACCUAGGCCCCUGAAGCGGGGUUGGGGACAGUGCAUGGUGGGCAGUUUGACUGGGGCGGUCUCCUCCUAAAGCGUAACGGAGGAGCACGAAGGUUCGCUAGGCACGGUCGGAAAUCGUGUCGAUAGUGCAAGGGCAAAAGCGAGCUUGACUGCGAGACUGGCAAGUCGAGCAGGUGCGAAAGCAGGUCCUAGUGAUCCGGUGGUUCUGUAUGGAAGGGCCAUCGCUCAACGGAUAAAAGGUA
rnacentral:rRNA from 1 species